UACGGGGGGGGCAAGCGUUGUUCGGAAUUAAUGGGCGUAAAGGGUUCGUAGGUGGCCCGCUAAGUCAGACGUGAAAUCCCUCAGCUCAACUGGGGAACUGCGUCUGAUACUGGUGGGCUUGAGUGCAGGAGAGGAACGCGGAAUUCCAGGUGUAGCGGUGAAAUGCGUAGAUAUCUGGAGGAACACCGGUGGCGAAGGCGGCAUCCUGGACCGGGAUUGACACUGAGGCGCGAAAGCCAGGGGAGCAAACGGG
rnacentral:rRNA from 1 species